rnacentral:rRNA from 1 species
CCUACGGGUGGCAGCAGUGGGGAAUAUUGGACAAUGGGGGCAACCCUGAUCCAGCCAUGCCGCGUGUGUGAAGAAGGCCCUCGGGUUGUAAAGCACUUUCAGUGAGGAAGAACGCCUGGUGGUUAAUACCCAUCAGGAAAGACAUCACUCACAGAAGAAGCACCGGCUAACUCCGUGCCAGCAGCCGCGGUAAUACGGAGGGUGCGAGCGUUAAUCGGAAUUACUGGGCGUAAAGCGCGCGUAGGUGGCUUGAUAAGCCGGUUGUGAAAGCCCCGGGCUCAACCUGGGAACGGCAUCCGGAACUGUCAAGCUAGAGUGCAGUAGAGGAAGGUAGAAUUCCCGGUGUAGCGGUGAAAUGCGUAGAGAUCGGGAGGAAUACCAGUGGCGAAGGCGGCCUUCUGGACUGACACUGACACUGAGGUGCGAAAGCGUGGGUAGCAAACAGGAUUAGAUACCCUGGUAGUC